rnacentral:rRNA from 1 species
UACGUAGGAGGCAAGCGUUGUCCGGAAUUACUGGGUGUAAAGCGCGUGUAGGUGGUGGGCCAAGUCUGUGGUGAAAUCGCCCGGCUCAACUGGGCGAGGUCCGUGGAAACUGGUCGACUGGAGGACGGUAGAGGCGAGUGGAAUUCCCGGUGUAGUGGUGAAAUGCGUAGAGAUCCGGAGGAACACCAGUGGCGAAGGCGGUCUGCUAGCCCACACCUGACACUCAGACGCGAAAGCAUGGGGAGCGAACGGG